GUGACAGCCUUGGUGCUUGGAAAAAUCACGUAUUGGGGGAAUACACGAGUGAACAGGGCCAUACGAUGGGGCCACUGCGUAGCGCGCGAGGUGUGGAUAGACGGCGCCGUGCGGUGUUGGAUUCUGAUCCGUGGCCCAUUCUGUCAACCCGUGAUGCGUGUUUUGACUUUUGACCAAGCCGUGGCACAGACUUUGGCGAUGGGUGUUCAGCGGCCCGUUCCAAAAUCCUGGGAUGAGAGGUGAAGAGUGGGGACUGGUGUCGGGUGCCACUGCUCAUUUUUGUUGAAGAGUCUUGGCUACACAUGGAGGGCGUCGGCGCCGGUGAAAGGCCACCGCGAGGCAAUGGCGGAGGACACGACGGGCUGGAUUUCCUACAAGAUCCGGUGUACAGGUAAGUACCGCCAUGAACAAAGUGCCUGCAAAAAUUGUCGUCCCCUUUGCCUGGCCUCGAUUUUGUUCCACUCCAUUGUGUUGGCUGUGUUACUGGUAGGUUUCCCGCCGGGGAUUGCAGAUAGCUUGGAGCAGCAGGGUCCGGUCCGUCUACUGCCUCUUGCUGGGAAAGAAUCUGACUUGCCUAUGGCGGCCGAGUUCAACGGGACGUCGGCAUGCGCUGAAGUUCUUGGCAGACUGUCCAGUGCCUGUGAGCAAAGGCAAGAGUGGAGCAGAGUAAGAAAGCAUCGCCGACGCAGUUAGCUGAACCACAUGCAAGGUGAAUUCUGAAGGUGGACCAAGAGGUGAGGCAUCCUUACCUGUGUGCAUCUCAGCUACAGAUAUCUCUGAUAGAGCUUGUAGGUGUGCGCCGUUGUGUGCUUCGAGC
rnacentral:lncRNA from 1 species